rnacentral:rRNA from 1 species
UGGUGGAGUGAUUUGUCUGGUUAAUUCCGUUAACGAACGAGACCCCUGCCUGCUAAAUAGUUUGCAUGGUCAUUUUCGACCGUGUUAUUCUUCUUAGAGGGACGUGCAUUUUUCCAAUGCAGGAAGAUAGGGGCAAUAACA